rnacentral:rRNA from 1 species
UACGUAGGGCGCAAGCGUUAUCCGGAAUUAUUGGGCGUAAAGAGCUCGUAGGCGGUUUGUCGCGUCUGCCGUGAAAGUCCGGGGCUUAACUCCGGAUCUGCGGUGGGUACGGGCAGACUAGAGUGAUGUAGGGGAGACUGGAAUUCCUGGUGUAGCGGCGAAAUGCGCAGAUAUCAGGAGGAACACCGAUGGCGAAGGCAGGUCUCUGGGCAUUAACUGACGCUGAGGAGCGAAAGCAUGGGGAGCGAACAGG